AGCGAACGCUGGCGGCAGGCUUAACACAUGCAAGUCGAACGGGCACUUCGGCGUCAGUGGCAGACGGGUGAGUAACGCGUGGGAACAUACCUCUUGGUUCGGAACAACACAGGGAAACUUGUGCUAAUACCGGAUAAGCCCUUACGGGAAGAUUUAUCGCCGAGAGAUUGGCCCGCGUCUGAUUAGCUAGUUGGUGUGGUAAAAGCGCACCAAGGCGACGAUCAGUAGCNGGUCUGAGAGGAUGAUCAGCCACAUUGGGACUGAGACACGGCCCAAACUCCUACGGGAGGCAGCAGGUGGGGAAGUAUUGGACAAUGGGCGGCAAGCCUGAUCCAGCCAUGCCGCGUGAGUGA
rnacentral:rRNA from 1 species